GGGAGGCUGAGGGCAGGAGAACGGCGUGAAACCGGGAGGCGGAGUUUGCAGUGAGCCGAGAUCGCCCCACUGCACUCCAGCCUGGGCGACACAGCGAGACUCCGUCUCAAAAAAAAAAAAACAAACAAACAACAAAAAAAAAAACUCAGAGCAGAUAUUAUAGCGUAUGUGAAUUAUUAAUUUACUUUGUUUUCCCAUGGCCAACUCACCUGUUCUAAGCCACAGCCACCUGGCACCUUCAAUUUGAAAUGUAUAAGGCAUAAGCUAUACGUUCCUCAUGGAAAGAGUAAAAGUUAUUUUAUAGCCAUACCAAGAUUGGAUUUCGGGUGUACUAUUUAUAAGCUGUGUAAUAACGUUGGACAAAUUACUUAACCUCUGUGAAACUCAGUUUUCUCUUUUAUUUUAUUUUACUUUAUUUUAUUUUUUUUAGACGAGUCUCGCUCUGUCACCCAGGCUGGAGUGCAGUGGCGUGAUCUCGGCUCACUGCAACCUCUGCCUCCCGGGUUCAAGCAAUUCUCUGCCUCAGCCUCCCGAGUGGCUGGGAUUACAGGCGCCCGCCACCACGCCCAGCUAUUUUUUUUGUAUUUUUAGUAGAGACGGGGUUUCAGCAUCUUGGCCAGGCUGGUCUUGAACUCUUGACCUGGUGAUCCACCCGCCUCAGCCUCCCAAAGUGCUGGGAUUACAGGCGUGAGUCACCGCGCCCGGCCGAGUUUUCUCUUUUAUUAAAAAAAGAAAAUCAACAACAAAGUUUUGCAGGAUUGUAGUGAGUGAAUAUAAAGUAUGUGAUUCGGUAUCCGGAACAUAAAAGUUCUCAGGAAAUCACGAUUAAUAAUAAACAGUAACAAAUAAUGAUCCGUCCAAACCAAGAGAAGAUAAUCUCCUUUGGCUGUAAGAAAAUAUGACUUAAACAGCUCUUUCCUUCAAGUCCUCCUUCCCACUUUAACAGGCCACACUGUACUGAGCAUCUAGAAGGCUCUCUGCCAACAGCAGCGCCGGUUUGUUAUCUAAGUGAGUCUUGGUCAUUAAGCAAAGUCAGGGUCUUUGUUAUUGGUUUCAUCCCCACUGGCCUUGCAGAGAAAGCCCAAGCCACAGGGUACAUCUCUGCCUGCCAAUGCCCUGUAUUCCUGAAACAAAAAGGCAAUAAAAAACACGACAGUUAGUGUCAGACACGGAGCCCGGGCUUGGGAGCGGGCGGGGAGGGCUCCCUUUUCUCCUUGUUCCGCAGCACCUGUCACGGAGACGGGAGAUGGGGGCCUGGCCCGGGAUGGGCAGCCCUGCUUCCUCCUGCCCCCGCCGCGCUCCCUCCCGAGCUGCUCCGGCCCCGGCUCCCAGCAACGCGGCGGCGGCCCGCUCUGCGACUAGAAAGCGCCCAUUGAGGGCUUGCAGCUGCCAGUGCCGCUUGCCCAAAUCCGACAUAAAGCCUCGACUUCAGCUCCAGUGAAGAAGACACUACUGUGUUCUUCCUGAGCCCCAGUCAUGGCUAUAAAACAUUAAAAGCAAACUGGCGAUUGUUAAACACUGCAUUUGUUUACACCCCGAAUCUUGAAUCACAAUGGGGCAGCUUGGGCUGCCCAGGCCCGGCGAGGCCGGGCUUUCUCCUAGACACUGAAGUCUGUUCUCCGACCCAAGGGACACAAGAAAAGCUGGAGUAAAGUGGCAUGAUCUCGGCUCACUGCAGCCUCCGCCCCCGCCAGGUUCAAGUGAUUCUCCUGCCUCAGCCUCCCGAGUAGCUGGGAUUACAGGCGCAGGCCACCAUGCCCAGUUUGGGGUUUUCAGGGCUGUGGUUGUGAAGAAGAUCAAGACCCAUGAUGGGAAGCUGGUAUCCAAGUCCUCUGACGUCCUGCUCAAGUGAACAGCCACAGCAGCCCCUCCCAGCCUAUCCUUCCUGCAGCUGCCCCAGAGCCCAUGAGAAAAGCCACUGCGCAGGGGAGCACAGGGAACAGGAGACCCACCUGAGGCUCAGCCCUAUCCCUAAGCCCACAUAGGGGAGUUUACUCUCUGGGGCACCCCCCUUGCCCAUGCCUCCAGCAACAAAACAAUUCAAUUGCUUUUUUUUUUUUUUUUUUUUGUCCAAAAUAAAACCUCUGCUAGCUCUGGAAAAAAAAAAAACAAAAAGAAGUUUGGUGUUUUGUUUGUUUGUUUUUUUUUUUUGUUUGUUUUUUUUGUUUUUUUUUUUUGCCAAGUAGUAUUCCACUGUAUGGGAAUACCAUAAUUUGUUUAUUC
rnacentral:lncRNA from 1 species